AUGGCCAUGGCCAUGGGGUACGUGGGGGAUGGACAUGAUCGCAGAGGUUUCUUUCGGACACCUCGAUGUGCCGACUGGCGUGUCUACUCGAUUAUUGAGGCUGCGAUCGCUAGCAAGGUGACACCAGGACACAUUUCAGUGGUCGGGGCAGUCGGCAACCAAUUGGUAACAUUCCAAGCCAGGCAAUCCGGCCUCAGGCCUCACAAGAAGGUACCACAUCACACCAUGCUUGCGCAGCUGCUACUAGAUCAAUCAGCCAUGGUGGUCGGCGUCGACUUCUUCGAAGAUACCGGUGCAAUGGGGAAGCAUAAGCGUUAUCAUGCCCGUGUGCCCCAUGUACCGAGCGGAUUAAGAGCGACUUUCGAGUCAAUAUCUACUACAAGUUUGCUUCCCAUGUCCUUUACCUCCACCAAGGUCAUGGCGCGACACGGUCGUGAUGCCCCGCUCGUCGCAACGGUCCCAUCUUGCCUCGCAAUGGUCAUUUACUCGAUCGACGGCGUGAGCAAGGCAUGGUCAGGGGUGGUGAUCGCGGUUAACGUUCAUAACGCAUUUGUGACCGUUCGCGUACACGGCUAUCCAUGGUCGAUUCAUCCAGAUCUUCCGGAAUUGCUGACUGCAUCAGAUGCAGCAUUGAAGAGCAAAGCUGUGCUGGUCGGGCAGAGUGACAGAAGAGAUACUGGCUUGCUAAAACAAACACUUGGUUGGGAUAUGUUCAUGCCACUGGACAUCAUGAUGAUCCGGUUCCCCCUCCCAGGUCAACAUCAAUUCGCAGGUCGAUGGGCCGAUGAGCCGACGCGGGGAACGGGCCGAGAAACGAAGGAGCAGCAGUACGUGUACGUGCCGACAUGCGUGUCACCUGAAUUAUUGGGGCGGGCGGCGAUCGCUACAUACGUGACGGCGACAUAUUGCCUCGUCUUCAUCCUGACUCAUGGCGCGCGGGAUAUCACAUGUGACCCUCGGUUUACUGACGAUGACCGCGCAAAAAUCACAACAAUAAUGUGGUCUAUCUGGCACUCCCGGAAUCGGAUCAAGCACGGAGAAGAGGGGAAGAAUCCUACGGCGACGAUCAUGGCUACCAAGGAGGCGAUUGCCCUCCUUCAUCUUCCACGUCGAGAUGCGAUGAUUUUGCCUGGUUUCGGUUGGAGACCUCCUGAUGAGGGACUUGUCAAGAUCUCCACGGACGGUGCCUUAAAUUUGGCAGAUGGCAGGGGCGGUGCGGGAGGGGUGGCUAGAUCCUCUUCGGCGCUCCUUGGAGCAUGGUGCAAACCAUAUUUGGGUAUUUCUGAUCCCUUGAUUAUGGAGGGUUUAUCACUACGAGAUGGAGUUCGUUUUGCUUCACUUCGAGGAUUCUCGCAUGUGGUCAUGGAAACUGAUUGCUUGAAGAUGCUCGUCCAUAUCGGUGUUCACGCGAACCGAAAGAACUGGAGUACUACUGGUUACUACCUGAACCAUCCUCGCCAUCUAUGUCAUCUAUGGUCUCGCAUGCAGGAGGCUGUUCCUCAAUACUUCAAACCAAUGAGCUUAGCUGGCUUUCCAUAA
rnacentral:rRNA from 1 species